rnacentral:rRNA from 1 species
GACGAACGCUAGCGACGUGCCUAAGAAAUGCAAGUCGAGCGAGGUUUAGAAGCUUGCUUCGAAAACCUAGCGGCGAACGGUCGCGUAACACGUAAGCAACCUGCCUCAAAGUUUGGGAUAGCCCUCCGAAAGGGGGAUUAAUACCGGAUGUGGAUAUAUUUUCGCAUGAUUAUGUAUCUAAAGCAGUAAUGCGCUUUGAGAUGGGCUUGCGGCCUAUCAGCUAGUUGGUGGGGUAAUGGCCUACCAAGGCGACGACGGGUAGCUGGUCUGAGAGGGAUGGUCAGCCCGGACUGGGACUGAGACACGGCCCAGACACCUACGGGAGGCAG